GACGAACGCUGGCGGCGUGCUUAACACAUGCCAGUCGAACGGUGAAGCGCCUUCCUUUUUGGUGGGUGUGGAUGAGUGGCGAACGGGUGAGUAACACGUGAGUAACCUGCCCCCUUCUUCUGGAUAACCGCAUGAAAGUGUGGCUAAUACGGGAUAUUCUGGGUCUGUCGCAUGAUGGGUCUGGGAAAGAUAUUGUUUCGGUGGGGGAUGGGCUCGCGGCCUAUCAGCUUGUUGGUGGGGUGAUGGCCUACCAAGGCGGUGACGGGUAGCCGGCCUGAGAGGGUGGACGGUCACACGGGGACUGAGACACGGCCCAGACUCCUACGGGAGGCAGCAGUGGGGAAUAUUGCACAAUGGGCGCAAGCCUGAUGCAGCGACGCCGCGUGAGGGAUGGAGGCCUUCGGGUUGUGAACCUCUUUCGCCAGUGAAGCAGGCCUGCCUCGUUUGUGGGUGGGUUGACGGUAGCUUGAUAAGAAGCGCCGGCUAACUACGUG
rnacentral:rRNA from 1 species